CCUACGGGAGGCAGCAGUGAGGAAUAUUGGUCAAUGGACGAGAGUCUGAACCAGCCAAGUAGCGUGAAGGAUGACUGCCCUAUGGGUUGUAAACUUCUUUUAUAAAGGAAUAAAACGAGGCACGCGUGCCUUUCUGCAAGUACUUUAUGAAUAAGGAUCGGCUAACUCCGUGCCAGCAGCCGCGGUAAUACGGAGGAUCCGAGCGUUAUCCGGAUUUAUUGGGUUUAAAGGGUGCGUAGAUGGUGUGUUAAGUCAGUUGUGAAAGUUUGCGGCUCAACCGUAAAAUUGCAAUUGAUACUGGCAGUCUUGAGAGCAGUUGAGGUAGGCGGAAUGUGUGGUGUAGCGGUGAAAUGCUUAGAGAUCACGAAGAACCCCGAUUGUGAAGGCAGCUUACCAAGCUGCGACUGACAUUGAGGCACGAAAGUGUGGGUAUCAAACAGGAUUAGAUACCCGUGUAGUC
rnacentral:rRNA from 1 species